UACGUAGGGCGCAAGCGUUUAUCCGGAAUUAUUGGGCGUAAAGAGCUCGUAGGCGGUUUGUCGCGUCUGCCGUGAAAGUCCGGGGCUCAACUCCGGAUCUGCGGUGGGUACGGGCAGACUAGAGUGAUGUAGGGGGAGACUGGAAUUCCUGGUGUAGCGGUGAAAAUGCGCAGAUAUCAGGAGGAACACCGAUGGCGAAGGCAGGUCUCUGGGCAUUAACUGACGCUGAGGAGCGAAAAGCAUGGGGAGCGAACAGG
rnacentral:rRNA from 1 species